rnacentral:rRNA from 1 species
UGCCUACGGGGGGCAGCAGUGGGGAAUAUUGCACAAUGGGGGGAACCCUGAUGCAGCAACGCCGCGUGGGUGAAGAAGUACUCCGGUAUGUAAAGCCCUGUCAGCAGGGAAGAAAAUGACGGUACCUGACCAAGAAGCCCCGGCUAACUACGUGCCAGCAGCCGCGGUAAUACGUAGGGGGCAAGCGUUAUCCGGAUUUACUGGGUGUAAAGGGAGCGUAGACGGCAAGGCAAGUCUGGAGUGAAAGCCCGUGGCCCAACCACGGGAAUGCUUUGGAAACUGUGGUGCUGGAGUGCAGGAGGGGG